UUUACACAUGCAAGUCGAACGGAAACGAAAAUAGCUUGCUAUUUGGCGUCGAGUGGCGAACGGGUGAGUAACGCGUAGGAAUCUACCCAGUAGAGGGGGAUAGCCCGAAGAAAUUCGGAUUAAUACCGCAUAAUCUCUACGGAGUAAAGAAGGCCUCUUUACAAUGCUUUUACUAUUGGAUGAGCCUGCGUUAGAUUAGUUAGUUGGUAGGGUAAAAGCCUACCAAGGCGACGAUCUAUAGCUGGUUUUACGAGAAUGAUCAGCCACACUGGAACUGAGACACGGUCCAGACUCCUACGGGAGGCAGCAGUGAAGAAUAUUGGACAAUGGGGGAAACCCUGAUCCAGCAAUGUUGCGUGUGUGAAGAAGGUCCGAGGAUUGUAAAGCACUUUCGGUAGGCAAGAAAAAUGUAAAUCUAAUAGAUUUGCAUGUUGACCACUUAUAGAAGAAGCACCGGCUAACUCCGUGCCAGCAGCCGCGGUAAUACGGAGGGUGCGAGCGUUAAUCGGAAUUACUGGGCGUAAAGGGUAAGUAGGCGGUUUUAUAAGUCACAUGUNG
rnacentral:rRNA from 1 species